rnacentral:lncRNA from 1 species
GUGACCAUUUGAUGUGAAGGCAAAAUCCUGAACAGCAGGGUCAGACCCCUGGCUGCUACUCCUCUCAUAGCCAUCUCCAGACUGCCAAGAGAUAAUUUAGCUUCACAACAACUUCCCCCAGUGAACGGCUGGGGAUACACUAUGAAGAAGCAGCAGAUACACAACUUCUAAAUACAGAAGGAGGCAAAUAAAAAUCUGAGGUGUGAAAGAAGAAAGAGCAGAGAGUUUCCAGGGGAGAUCUCAGAGAGGCACAGAAUCCCUGAGAGAAAGACUGUGAGAGACACCACAGCACAAGCCAACAUCCCACAGAAGAGAGAGAAGAGGAGAGCAGGUCAGUAGGACAGUCACUUAACUGAAGAGCAGCAAGACUGCAAGACCUGCAGACUUGCACUGAGGAAAAGCCUUGUGCAGUUGAGGGACAGACCUGGAUGUGGCAUGUGUGAGCUAAGUGAGGGAGCUGCUGUUCAAACAGAGCAAUGAGGACCUGC